GUGGUGGCUCAGUGGUAGAACGCUCAUCUUGCAUGUGUGAGACACUAGGUUCAAUCCUCAGCACCACA
rnacentral:tRNA from 1 species